rnacentral:rRNA from 1 species
UCUUGGUUGUAAAUCUAAUAAAAUUUACCAGAGUACUACGAAUAAAAAAAUUUAAAACUCAAAGGGCUUGGCGGUGUUUUAGACCAUUCAGGGGAACCUGUCUCAUAAUCGACAAUCCACGUAAAACCUAAUCUCUUUUUGCACUCAGUUUGUAUACCGUCGUCGCCAGGUAACUUUUAAAAAACUAGAAGUUAGCGAACGAAAUAAUUUAAAUUAAAACGUCAGAUCAAGGUGCAAUCUAUGAAGAGAGGAAGAUGGGUUACAAUUAUUUAUUUAUAACUACGGACAGUUAUAUUAAUAAAUAACUAUGAAGGAGGACUUGAAAGUAAAAUAAAAUAUAUAAACAAUUUGAAUAAGGCUCUGAAACGUGC